UUUUUUAAAUUGUUUUUUACCUUCUGCUGCAUUGACUAGCAAUGCUACUUUCCUUUCAGCUAAUGGCCUUUUGUUUAGAUUGACUCUGCCUUGCUGAAAAUAUUCUCUUGCUGUGUAUUGUACACGGCCUUAAGGCACUACUGUGAUGCACACAAAGACUUUUUAUAAUUAAGAAUAGUUGUGGUCAUAGACGAUAGUAAUAACCAUAUCUGUCAUCCUGUAGUCUCAACAUUUCUUGAGGUGGUCUGCCUCUGAUUUUUGGUGCUUGAUGUUCCCCAUCAUUUACGCUGGUUUUACUGUGUAAUUAUUUUGCUUUACUCUCAGAGGAGAGUUGAACUCCCUUUAUGUGUGCAUUCCCCCCUUUAAUGUUACUCCUUCCUUAAAAUAACCAAACAGUUCCUUCCUCAGAUCCAAACUCUGCAGAAGAAUCUGCAGGAAGGGUGGUGUAUUCUAAAAUGGUACAUUUAUUAGUUUGGAGUCAGGUGUACACACACAUACAUGUCCAUGCAUAGUACAGUAGCAUUCUUAGGAGUAAGAAAAUGUAUUGUCAGCAUUUACUGCCUUAAUGGUACUCUCCUUUUCCAUUUUUAAUACUAUUGUCUGACAAGCAUUUUUGAAGUACAUCAACAUUUUACUGUUGUUUUUUUUUCCCAGCCUCCUGCAAAAUAAGCCAUCCCCUCCCAUGACAUUGAGUCAGCUAUGUGGGCCAUAGGCUGGAGCCACAGGCUGGAGAAAGUCCUUCAGUUGCACAUUCAGAACAAACGUUGUGAUGUGUAAUGUAGUCAAUGGCUCCUCCUUUUUAAAGAAAAACAGUGAUUAGUUAGUAUUAUUUUACCAGGCUGUUAGUACUAGCAACGUUCUAUUGCAGUUCUAGUUAAUUACUAGUUAAUUACUAGUAGAGAAAUGACUCUCAUAAACGGGGUAACAGAAAGUAUGAACGUAUUUUCUGAGGUUAGCUCAAUACUUGAGAUAGGAAUGCUAGAUUAGGUGAUACAAACUCUCAUUUAUAGGACAAUAAAUCCACACCAGUGCAGAUGCAAUCAUUGAGGUCUGGCUUGUAUGCAAGAAAUUAAAAGUAAAUUCAAUUAAUUUAUCUUAAUCACAGUUAGCUUGCUACCUUCUUCAGAUGUAGGAAGCCUAGCCUCAAAAGAAAAGCUUCCAGGAGCCUGGGAAGAGUGAUGAUUUCCAUCCAUUUCACUUUGCUGCUGUUCCAUGGGAUGCUGUUGCAAAUGAUUAUCCGUAGGUAUCACACAGUUGUUUGUCAACAACACCAAACUGUCUGCUGUCCUAAUGAGGUGGUGUAUUGAGAUGAGUUGUAAUUAACAUAAACAGAAAGUAAUCAAGUGAUGAAUGGAGAAAGUGUCCCUUCAAAACGUAACGUUCUGGACCAUGGCUUUUUAAGCUGAUGCACUGUGCUGUGUAUGCUGACCUGUGAUGAAGGAAGCUAGACAUUUAAAAGUGCUGAGAACCCAGCUAUCUGCAUGCAUCUUUGCUCUGCAUACAUCUUGUUCGGGCAGUGCAAUUAGCAAGCAGUAAGGUGAGCCUCAGGUUAAAUGGCAACCAAAUAGACACUGAGAAUGGCCAGCAGUUAAUCUCUGUAACUUUCCUCUGUAACAUAAAUGAAGUUUCAGUAGAAACAAGCAGCGUAAUUUGCAUUGUUUUUGGUCAUUGGUAGAAAAUGCAUUGUAAGCUCUGCAAUUAAAUCCUGUAUUUGAAGCAAUCAAGCAAUUAGAAAAAAGCUGUUUUCUGUGCGUUUACUGAGAUGUAGCUCUAGUCCUAACUGUGGAAUUAAGUGCCUCGUGAGAACUGCCUGUUUUCUUUACUAUUUUAUUUUUUUUCUGCCGUAAAAACUUGACAUUACCACUGCCUUCUAUCACACCCAGGAGGCUGUGUAUCACUGGGAGGACAUGCCCAUGCAGAGUCUGACAAUAUUUUGUGGACUGUGCGCUGCUCCUCACUGGCGUGCUUUGGGAUUCUGGAGAUGUGAAACCACCGUGGUGCUUGCUGGUGAUUGGUGAUAGCUGAGUAAAAACAGCUAGCUGUGAAGAAAUUGUUUCUGUUGUACAGAAAAAGGGCCCCAGUCACAAGUGAGAGAAAAAUGAGUAACAGAAG